ACUCUUCUCUAUUACCACAGACUGUGGUGGCCCAUUGUUUAGCAAUAAAUUCUAGGAAUUUCUUUAAAAGAUCAUUUUUCUUUAUUCAAAUCAAACUGAAAUGGUAAAUAAUGAAAUAGAGCGAAUUUUAUUCUAGCUGUGGCCGCGUCAUCUAGGAGUAACUUGCGCGUUCCAAACACUUUCCUACUUUACCGACUACUGUCAGAUGUCAAACAAAAAAUUUAAUUUUUGUUUACAAACUUUUUAAUUUUUGUUAUUUUAGGUAUUAGCUUUCAGAUUUACCAAUGAUUUUAAUCUCUGGGUUGAAAAUUGAUGAAAUACGGGGUAAAAGUUGAUCAAACACGGACACGUGCUCGUUUUUUAACCCUACCACCCCUUUCACUUGUACCAUCUGCAAUAAAAGGGAAGUUACCCUUUUAUGUUUUUUAGAGAAGGGUUGUGAUUGUCCCAGCAUUUAAUUUCAGUGUGAAUUAAAGGAGAGAACUAUUGGUAAUGUUGUUACUCACAUUUGAUUUUAACAUUUUUUUGUUAGAAAAUUCGUUUUUUUUUCAGUUUUUUAGUUAAGUUAGUUUGUUUUGCAAUAGCUGAUUAUUGUGGGUGCGGACACAGGUCAGUUUUGUGUCGGGAACAGCUUUCAUGAGUGCUCAUGAUGCAGUUUCUAAAGUGCUUGGAGCCCCCCUAUUUUUCACCCGAAUGUUUUUUGGUUGUUAAAGGGUUGUCCCCCUUUAAAAACUAAAAGGGUUGUUUGGUAUAUAGUAAAAAGUAAGGGUUGCAAGCAAUGUAAAAGGGGUUUAGUCAAUACUGUGCUUCGAAGCUUCGAAGACUGGAUCCCCUCCACUGGGAUUUUAUUCGAGGAAAUCUAUAUGUUAGGUAGUCCUCUCUAAACCUUUGAGAGAGAGCUUUACAUAUGCUCCACCCCCUUCUUUAAAAAGUCCUGCACACUUUUUUAUGUAAAGGGUAGAUCACAAUGGAGGCUGCUUUAGUCUGCUGAGGGGCUUCAAAGUGCAAACAUGUUUGUGGUGUUUCAAUUUUUAGUAUAUUUUCGAUGCUUAUUAAGGACUAUUUUGGAUAAAGGGGCUUUUCUGGUCGUUUGGGUGAAUUUUGAGCUACAUAUCGCUAAAUUGAAAUCUCCAUUGCGACGGAAUAGUUGAAGCCGGACUACGGAAACAUUUGAAGCGAGUAGGUCUGUCGAUGGCAACAAUGGGGGUGUAAUUGGUUUCAACUUUGGCCCCACUUCACCUAUAAUGAUUCUAGUUGACUUCUCAAUUCCGCCGCGCUCCAAAUGUGGGACGACACGGGAGAUUGCAAAUUCGCGUCAUAACGCUCACCAUUCACGAUUUACAAUUUAAAACAGGGAUGGAAUCGGGGCCGGGAUUGGCUGAGGAGUUCAGGAGCACCCUCGCGGGUCUCAGCUCGCGCAUGGUCGACGCACGGCGACCUCAUUGGAUCCUGAUUUACAUAAGGAAUUCAUGGUUGGGAAAAUCCAUCCGAGAUGGCUGGCUUUCCGGGAGCCCGGAAUAUUAGAAAACACAAGCUGCGUUAUAUCUGAAACAGAACCUCCUUACCAAGUCAAUAGACUUCGUUACCAUUUCGAAUAAGCCCUUAAAGGAAGGGAUUUUGGAGCAUUCCACAAGAGGAUGCUCAGACGGUCAUUAAGGCCCACCAAAAAACGCUAGAACCAAUCAAAUUGCGGGCAAAUUUUGCCUUCUGACGACUGGAACAGAUCUUAUCGAUUGCUCAUUUCGUUAAUUUCAAAAACCAUGAAAUAUUCAGACAAAAUUUCCGUGAAUUUUUCACUCCCACGAAAUUUAAUAGGAAUGUUACGGUUCGAAUUGUCUUCCUAAGUAAUGUCAACAGCGUUUAAUGAAAUUUCCGCACAAAAAGGCAUCGCUCAGUGCAGAACAAAUCCUAACUAUUAUUUGGUUGAAUCUUGCACAAAAAUUCUGAUGCGGUACAAAGAAGCGGCUUCUUUUCACUACUUGAGGUCGCAGGUUAUCGCAUAUUUACUCGAGAAGAGGCGAGAAUAACAAGUUUUAUGUAAAUCUGAGCGCCGUAUUUUUGGGACAAUCUUGAUGGUAAAAAGUGGUGGAUUCAGAACUCUCUCUGCACCUGAAAUACAGGCUGUUCCGUUUAAAUCCCGCAUUAGAAUUACUGGUUCUAAUAUUUUCAGAAGAAAGACGGUGUUAAGAGGUUUCACGAAAUGCCAUUUAAAGGAAAUUGUCUUUUUGCAUGUUUUUGGAAAAAAAAUGGAAAAAAAAACUUCAGAAAUCAGAGACUUAAAAGUGGAAAGAAAAAUUAAUAAAUGACGGGUAAGAAAUUGAAGAGGAUUUUUAGUUAGUUUAUUUUUUAUGUAAAUUUAUAAAUUAGUCAUUGUUUAUCUAAAAAAAUGAGAAAAGAGUUUUUUUUGUAUAUUUUUUUGUGUUAUUUUGUAUGUUUUAAAUAUUUCUGGGCAUAAAAAAACAAAGAAAAAAAACUGGAGAAAGCGGAGAAAAGUGGAAAAAAUAAAUACAAAGGGACAAGAAAAACAAGUGUUUUUCUACAACUACAACAUACUAGAAACAACUAGGAGGGUAGUUUAUUUUUUUAUGCAAAUUUAAAAAUUAAUUUUAAUAGUUUAUUAAAAAAAAUUAAGAAAACAACUAAUAAAUAUUUUUUUUAGAAGAAAGUGUCUGUAAGUAGAUACUUCAGCUGUUUGCUUCAGGUGUUUACUCUUCUAAUAAUGUUCUAAUAAUGAUAGUCAUCUGAAAAUUUGUAUAGGGUAAAAUCUCUCUUAAAGGACACCUCUUAUAAGCGGACUCUUCAGACAAACGGACAUUUUUGUUGGUUUUGUUUUGAGCUAAUGUAUUUUAAAUGACGAUGUUUCUCUUUUAAGAAGACUCUCUAAUAAACGGACUUAGACAAUGAAAUUCUUAUCCUUGGAAACAAAACUCUCCUUUAAGCGGACAGUUUAAAUUAUUACGCAAGUAUGUUAUUAACAAAUAGUUAUUAUUAUGACAAUCCGGCAGAUAAGCGGGUACAUAUUUUUAUUUCAAUGUUAUUUCAAUCUUUUAUACAGCAUUAUUAUGACAAAUAAAUAACAUUAAAAAAAAUUGAAGAAAAAUUAUGUUUUUUUUAAGAAAUAGUUGAUAAGUAUUGUUGUUGUAAAUAAUAUCAAGCUACUACUUUUUUAAUAUUUCUUUUAGUUUGUUUUUGCGUAUAAAUUAUUAUUUGUCUUAAGAGGACAUCUCCAUUAACCGGACAAAAAGCGUGUUACCGUCACGUCAGUGUCCGCUUAUAGGAGCUUUUACUAAUGCUUUAGGUCCUGCUCAAAAAAAUUAAAGAGGAAGCCUAGAUAUUUCUUUUGGUGUUUUCGGAUUUAUAAAAAAAAACAAAACCCAAAUUUUUAAUACUUCUAAUGUGGGGUUGAGACGGAACAGCCUGUGUAUGGUAAUUAUGAAGGCUGGUUGGAAAAGUCAGCACGAACAUAAAGCAAAAUUCAAUCUGCGAAUUUUGCAAUAAAUUAGCUUUUAUGAUCGGAAAACAAAUUAAGUCAUCAAGCUGGACGUUUGAGAGUUAUAGCAAGUAGACGUCGCUUUAGUUACAUUUUAAUUCUCCCCGUUUAAGAGUCUGCCACAGUGUGAUAAACACCCGCCCUUUGGAGGUAGUUUAUGGCCGUAAUUUAAUUUCUAUUAAUGUAUUCCGUUCGAUUACCAUACAUAUUAAUUACACUGUUGUCGAGCGUGUCUCACAAGGCGCUAUCUGAGAUGCCUCUGUAAAACAUGCAUAUCACAUCGGGAAAUUAUGUAUAGUGAGCUUGUAAACAUGGAGCUAGCAUCUCUAGUAGUCGCGGUGAGAUCAAAGAGCCGAUUUGGGAUCUGAUUGUUCCGGGAGAGGCGUUCUUUGCACCAGAUACGUGACACUCAGGUUUUUUCAUAGACGUACGAUUUCCACGAACGUCCAACUACUGUCCUGGGAAAAUUGAAACGACGAAUCAUGAUUGUCGCGGAAUUUUGUGCAAAGACAUCUUCGGCUUUUUGUUUUAUGAAGAAACAUUUCUCUUAUUGACAGAAACUUCAGAGAAAUGGAAGGAAAAAGCGAAGACUCUUCUUCCAUGAUCAGCGACGAUGAAAACGCCAGAUUCGCAGUUUGGUGAUAAUGGCGAAACAAGACCGUAAAUUGUAUGGAAAACACACAGUAAAAUUAUGUUAAUUAUUAUUAUUAAUUGUAUAAUCUGCGGUUUAGAACUGACGUUUCAAUUAAGUUGCACUAAUUACAAGGUAUAAUUAGGUAUAUGUAUAAAUAAUAACCCUGAGACUAUUUUUUAUGGUGAUUCUUAUUCUAUUUUUGUUAUAAAUUAUAAAGAUUGAAAUUAUAAUGAAGCGAUACCUGUGGGUUAGUUUUUUUUUAGAAUAAUAGCGAAUACCAAACACUACAUAGCAAAUAUUCCUCAUUUUUGUGUUUGUUUAACGUAUGAUCCAGAGUUUGGACCGUCUUUACAUUUAAAACCGAUGGUACUUUUGGUCUAAACUUAGUAAGUUCUGAGCAAAUAUCUACACAUCAAGUACUGCACUGUCUUUGGUAAUAAAUUAUUUAAAUAAUAACUUGAAAAAAACAAAUGUUUAAAACUUUAUUAAUCUGGAUAUUGUAGAAAUGGAGUUUAGGCUUCUGUUAAUGUUUUUUUAUGGCCUAAGUUCCUACUUUUUAGCAUGCUUAUCAAAAAUUUAUUAACAAAAAUUUUACUUUAAUUUUUUUUAAGAUACUAAAGACAAGUACUCUUAAACAAAUUAAAAAAAAACAACGGCUCCAUAUCAGCUUAAAUAUUUUUAUUGUAAUUUUUUAAAUAAACUAAUAGAGAUUCUUUAAAUAUUAAGGUCUUUAGCGAUCUGUAAAAAAUGUAGAACAGUAUUUUCUUAAUUUAAUACAUUUAUUUUUCAGUAUUUUGUGUUUCCACCUUUACUGACUUGGUCUCUACUUUGCAGAGUCACUGCAAUAAACAUUAUCAUUAUUAUUUUUACUCAGCCAAAGUGCCACAAGCCGUUUUUCGUUUGCAAAUAGGUUUUAAUUAACAGAUCAAAAUUACUCUGUUUGAAAAAUAACAGUAUAAAUUUUUGAACAAAAGACUGACUUUAGUUAAAUAGGUUUCUAAAUAAAAAAAGUACCUAGACUUUACUGUUUUAUACAGAAAAAAAUCCAAAAAAAAGUAAAUUUUAGAUUUAACUUUAGUUGUGACUAACUAUCCAAAAAGUUAGGUUCUAAAGUGUCUAAACAUCGUAAAAAAUUGCUUUUUAAUGUGAAUACAGAAAACCAGUCAAAAAAAUACAAAGCUCGUUUAAUCUGUUGAAAUUAAGGUUUUGUUGAAUUUCUUAUAAACAUAUUAUACAGUUAUCAAAGUUUAAUGUAAUAUUAAAAACAAUUUUCAUUAGUACAGACUGUAUAACAUCAAAAACAAAGAAGUUUAAUGUAGACUUUACUGGAAUAAAUAAAAUUAGAAAUUCUCAAAACUACUAAGUACCUAUUUUUUUAAAUUAUUAUCAGAUGUAAUUGCUUUACCCCCAAAACUUUUUACAACGAAAAUUAAAGCUUUUCUUUUGCAAAAAGCCUUUUACAGCCUGGAUAAGUUCAUGUCCAAUAAUUCUUUGUUAGAGAUCUGUAUAACAGUGUACGUUUCUGUUCAUGAUUUUUGUAUUUAUUAGUACUAAUGUUAUUUUGACAAAUGUAAUACAAUAAUUGUUGUAACACAUGAAGAAAUUUGUUAUUCUUAGAACAAAAGAGAUAAUUUUUGAGUUGUCUUUUAGUAAAUUUAAUUAUUUCUUACGUACACAUUUGUAGAUUGUAUAGAUUAAAAAUGUUACAGUUCACAAUUCUUGUGUUCGAAAUAUUUCUUAAUUUUUAUUUAGAAUGGCUAAAGUAAAGUAUUGUUGUCUUAAAUACUUGAUCAUUUUGUAAACACACUGCAAUUAUUGAAAAUGUUUUUCAUACAUCAAACACUGUAAUGUUUACAGAUAGGUGCAGGUAUUUUUUAUAGAAUAAUUUGUCAAACUAAGGAAAUACUUUGCGUAUAAUGUACGCAUUUUAUUCUUUUACCUAAUAUUGUUUGUGUUCACCGACGUUUUUUUUUUGAUUGUUUAAUUACGUAUAAAAAUGUUAAUUUAGAUAGUUUUUAGGUUUUACAGCAAUCAUAUAGAUUAAACUUUCACAUGGAAGAAAAAUAUGAAACCAUAUUUUGUACUGCGAUCUACUUGUUUACUUUUUAACGAAAGAACUGAACCACUUUAAUUUUUGUAAGUUUAGAUUAGGAAACGUGACCAGUUGUGUUUCUUCAUUUUUGAACCGAACCAAUUAUUAAACAUUGCU